ensembl:lncRNA
UGGCUGAUUGGUCUCUAUAGUUGAGAGUGUAGGAUCUCCAUAUACGUGGGCAUUUUGGUGGUCCUUGGCUUCUUUCUAUCUCUCCACAUGACAUCGUACACUCCAGGGCCUCUUAACAUAGCCUGGAGUUCUCACGUGAUGAUUUCUGAGUAGUUAUACUUCUUACCUGGUGGCUGGUCUCCCACAGGCAGGAAGUAGGUGUUGCCAGGCCACUGAAGGACUAUCUGUAGAACUGGCACUGGUUGCUUCCUGCACAUAUUUUUGCUCUAAACAGUAACUAAGUCUAUCAAGUUCAAUCCCUCUUAAUAGGAUAUGGUGAAGUCACAUUGAAGAAAAGCAUAUAAGAUGGAACAUGAUGUUGUGGCUAUGUAUGAGAAAUACAGCCAAUGACACAAUUAAUAUAUAUUUGAUAAAUCAGUGCCUAAAGGUCCCUGUCAUAAACCUCAAUUAACCCUCUAGAAAUGUUCACUGUCUCUCACUCUCACCAAGUGUAAUCCAGUAUAAGCUUCUUUCUGUAGCGUCUCUGCCAUAGAGGUGGAAUCUCUGAGGAAGAAAAAGAAAUCCAAGCCUGCUGUUCUUCACCUUGAUGUUUCGAUUGCAUAUAUAUUAUGAAGUAUACUACAGAAUACAACUUCAGGUCCCAGAGUGCCCAAGGAGCCGUCCUACUUCUGAAAAGACUCAGGUCAAGUGGCUGCUAUUGUCAUCUAGACCUGCAAUCUUGGGUAGCUCUCUUCAGUAAUCCUGGCUAUGAGGUGAUUGUGAAGGCAAAAGACAAGUCAUCCUGCUCAGUGGCCUCAGAACCUGCUUUUUUGCUUUCAGUAUCUACAGUGCCUAGAACUGUGCCUGGAUAAAGAAGACAUGAAGUACACAUUUGUUGAACUGAAUCUCUCUUAAUGUCUAGUAGGGGCUGCUGCUGUAACCUUACCCUAAUGAGUUCCACACAUAUUCACUCACUGAGAGAAUCCCCAGAAAAAUGAGUACUAUAAUGAUUAAGAGUACUAUUAUAGUUUGAACUAUGAUUUGUCAACUUGACUGGGUCUUUACACAGAUACCAGAUAAUUGGUAAAACAUUAUUUCUGGGUGUGUCUGUGAGGGUGUUUCUGGAAUAGAUUAGUCUUCAAAUCAGUAGAUUGAAUAAAGAUGAUCCAAUCCCACUCCUUUAGGUGGGCAGACACCAUCUAAUUUACUGAUGGCCAAAUUAAAACAAAAAGGUAGAGAAAGGUUAAAUUUUAUCUAUCUUUCCUUAACCUGAAAUGUCCAUCUUCUGCAACCCUCAGACAUCUAGAGACACUUGUGGCCCCUCCUGGUUCUUGGUCUUUUGGCCUCAGACUGUUUAGAGCAUCAGCUCCCCUGGUUCAGUCCUUUGGACUCAGGCUGAAUUAUACCACUGGCUUUUCUGGUUCUCCAGCUUGCAGAUGGUAUGUUGUGGGACUUCCUGGCCUCCAUAAUUGUGUAAGUCGAUUUCCAUAAUAAAUCUGUAUAUGUGUGUAUGCUGUGUGGUUCUGUUUCUCUGGAAAACCCUGACUACUAUAAGUACUAUUUAAUUUCCCAUUUUCUCUAACUGGGCUGGAAGAAGUAGAAAAACAGAUUCUCUUUUAGUCUUCUCUAUCAGAGCUUUACAUGAGUCCUGGUGAAUUGCAGAAUCUUCAAAAAUGCUAUUGCUUUUAUAGAAUGUUUUUAAAUAGCCUUUUCCAGUCCUGAUCCUUAAUCUACUCAUUGAAAUCAUGCCUCUGGCCAUCUUUAAAAGUCCUAAAUCUACACCAAGGAAGCUAAGUUUCUAACGUUCAUGUCUAGAACACCCAGAUGUAGUGAGAGAAUAUGCCGUUCUGAGGCAGUUCCCAGAUGCUCCCUGCGAUUGCACCCCUGUUCCUGAGCACAAGCUCUGUCUAGAACUCCAGACUCUGCUGGUUACUGCCUCUUAGUUCCACAGCACUCGGCCCAGGCUCAUGUUUCCUGAGAACCUUUCAGUGUACUGCACUCUGGGAUAGGCACCAUUUCCUUGUACUCCUAUAAAUUUCUUUGUGUUCACGAACUCUAUUACUUGCUUCUCUGAUUAAGCUGUUGACUUUAGUUUCCCUUACACACAUAUACAUACACAGAAUUGUAAACUCUUUAAAAGCAGGUCAUGAAUUUUAUUCAUCUCUAUUGCCUGGGGAUGCAACACAUAUUUUUGAAUAAAAAAGUGAAACUGUUCCAAAGACAUUAUCCACUAUGAUUAGGCAAAUGAAAAUAUGGUAGAAGAAGAUAAAGAGUGGAAAGGCUGCUUUGGGUACCUGUUGGAUUGAUCUGAUUUGUAAAGUCACUAAAGUCCUAGGUGAAGGAUGGGCUGGGCUCUCUAGUCACUGGGAUGAUGCCUUCCCUUCUUCCAAAAACUGUUCCAUUCCUGUGAGAAGAAUGGAACAGUUCUGGUCACUUUCCUGAGCAUAAAGACAGAUACUCCCCCAGAUUAUUCUGUACACAAGAGGCUUAAGGAUCAGUAUAUGCAAGGCCAGACUCACAAUAAAGGGCAGCACAGCAUCCUUUAGCUCUCAGUCCCACUUUACCACCCUGAGUGCAUAGCUGCACUGGAUCUGUCCAGAUGGGCUGACGACCACUAAUGGGAAAAGAAGGUAUAGUGAAUUUCAUAGAAGAAAACAACUUUACAACCCUGAGGGAAAAGAUAAUACUGUUCCCACAAGCAUAUUAAUACCUAUUGAGCCUCUCAUUCAGAUCUGUGUGAGGUAUUAUUCUAUAAGUUAUGUGAGGUUGCAUAGACAGGCAAUGGUAAAAGAUAUAUGACUAGUUCCUUCUCUCCUGGGGUCCUGAGCUUACAAUAUGGCCAAAGACAAGAAAUAGUACAGAGCGACAUAUGGUGACAUAUUUAUUGAAAGGUGAAUAAAAUCAAGUAUCAUAAAUGUACAUUCAUUAAAUUACUAUGAGAAGAUCUGAUGAAAAAAGUCAAUAAUGAAUGAAGUUAUCAGGAGUUGAGAGGGGGAGUUCCAAGGACAUUACAGCCCUUCAGGCUUUCUUUGAUUCUUACCAUUAGGCUUUCUCAUAUAUGCCUCCGAUCUUCAAAGUUAUCAAUUAUCUGACAUCUGGCUCAUAGCUGCUCUCUCUACCCCACUGCCUGCCAUGUUUUAGGGUGAUUUCAAGGUCUGUGUGAGCAACUUUCUUCAAACCUUUUACUCUUUGCUUCUUAAUCUCCUCAAUCUUAGUGAUUUUCAUAUCUACUCAUCUUCAGAAAUGCUUGUGUAGAAACACUGGGGUGCCACAGCCUUCAGACAUUGAGUAGAGGAGAAGGAGUCAGCAAAGGACAGUGCAAUAGCAAGAAAACCAGGAAGGCAUGGUAUCACAGUAGAAGAAAAAAACGUUUUUGGAGACACAGUGGUGUCAAUGCUAAUGACAGAUUAAGAAAAUGAGAGAAAAAAUGGCUGUUGGGUUUAUUAAUAUGUUUGAGGUCAAAAGACAAAGUUACAACAAAUUUAAAUAUUCAAAUUGUUAUUUAUUUGUCAUUCUAGAAUAAGGCAACACCUCAUUCUAUAAAAUAGAAUGAUUUUUCUGAUGAGCUGACCAGAGGAGGUUGGUUUUACAGACCCAAAAGGGCAGAGGAAAGCGGAAAUAGAGAACAAAUAGCUGAUUGGUCAUUUCCAAGUUACUUUUCUUGUAAAGGCUGAAGCAGAGGAGACUUCCUUAUCACACCCAAUAAAACUGGCCUGUUUAGGGAUUUGGCUAUUAUUUCUCUCUCUCCUGAUUUCUUGGAAGGUCAGUUAAACAAUUUUGUUUCUGCUUGGUGGCAUGGAACUUCCGCAUGCAUGAUUCCAUUUUGGUUUGGUCUAUUGGGAGCUCAGUCCAAACCAAUGGCCUCCUGUAAAUUUUAUUUAACACUGAUACUCUUGUCAAGUACAACUUAAAGCCUUCAGAAUGAUAUGCUGAGCCAAGCAAACCUCUGAGUAAAUGCUCCUAGGAAGGUGCUACUGACUGGAGGCAGAGGAAACAGGAGGAAAUGAGCCAGCUUGUUCACCAUGGGGAGUAUGAUUUUUGACAAACUGAAAUGACGAAUCAAUUGAAGAACAGAUCCCAGGAGAUCAUACUGAAGUCUUUAGAUAAUACUCUAAACAUGCUGGAGGGAAGUUAAGUAGCCUAAGAAGGUCAGGAUGACUAAAACAAGUGUUAAUUGGGUAGAGACAGGUAGAUAGUAGAACCAAACUGGAGUUCAAAUGAGGACUAAAACUGAAACUAAAUAUUUCCUGAACAUAUGCUGGUCAUUGCUCAUUAAAUAAAGAGGAACAGAAAAUUGGAUUAGGAAAACAACUUUAGGAUGAGAAAGGGAUAUAUAGAAAGGAAGAAAAAGUUUUGAGGUGACAGAGGAAUUCAAUUGUUAAUACUAGACUCUGAAAGGGUUUUGUCACAAGGCAGAACAAAUGGAUGGAAUGUAUGUAAUUUCCUUAGCUGACCACAACCCUGUGUUCAGACUUUCAGUGUUAUGUAGAGAAAUAAG